UACAGAGGUCCCAAGCGUUGUUCGGAUUCACUGGGCGUAAAGGGUGCGUAGGCGGCCAACUAAGUCAGACGUGAAAUCCCUCGGCUCAACCGGGGAACUGCGUCUGAUACUGGAUGGCUUGAAUUCGGGAGAGGGAUGCGGAAUUCCAGGUGUAGCGGUGAAAUGCGUAGAUAUCUGGAGGAACACCGGUGGCGAAGGCGGCAUCCUGGACCGAGAUUGACGCUGAUGCGCGAAAGCCAGGGGAGCAAACGGG
rnacentral:rRNA from 1 species